rnacentral:misc_RNA from 1 species
UUUGCCGGGAACUCCCCCGAUGGUCACAUAGCGCUCCCCAGUAAUGUUGUCGGCCUUGGCCACCUGCCAGACCGUCGAUACAGUACAGAUGGUGGGGGCAUGGAACUUAAUGCUUACAUCACUCAAGUACUGGACAACAUUGUCGUCAGUGUUCGCCGGAGUGAAGAUGACGGGUACACCGUCGUCGAGGUCACUGCUAGUCUGGGCGACGUUAAGCUGGCAGAUAUCAGGAUAGAUUAAGGGGCAAAUUUUUUUGCACCAAUUGGGGUACAGGCUACCGCCUGCGGCCCCUCUGAAGACAGAUUUGAUGUAGUAGGUGCUGCCAGGUUUGAGGGCAUUUCCGGAGGUAUCGUAGACAACUGCACCGUCAACGGUGAGGGUGGAGAUGAUCAGCAGGAGUGCUGGGAAACGAAUCAGCUUCAUCUUGAGCAGCUGAUUUUCUG